CAGGAGGCGGAGGCAGCGGCGGAAGCAGGCCUAGAGCGGUGCGCGCGCGGCGCCCACGAGGCCCAAGGGAGAGGUAGUUCUUCCGGCCCGCCCAGCUCGCUCGCCUCCACGAAGAGCCCCGAGCUGGAAACUACCACUCCCGGCGUGCCACGGUAGAGCUCGUGGUCGGUUCACAAUUUCGCCCCACGCUUCCUAGCGCCGUCUCCCUCCGCGAGGGCCGCCGUGAAGCCUGAUGGGAGGAGAGUCGUCCUCUGGCUGCCGCUGCUGUGGGCAGGCCUGGGCCGCGGGGCGGAGGGACCACAACUCCCAGGGGGCGCCUCGGCCAGGGACAGACAUGAUUGGGUCUGCUGCGUGCUCGGAGGAAGGAGGGGUGUCAGUCGCGGGCAGAGGCGCUCUUCUCACCCCCGGACUUCGAGGCCGCAGUCCGGGGCCUCCACGGCCCCUGCCCCCCUCCCCGCCCCCAGUCUGUCCUGGGUGGUGCGGAGCAUAAUGAUGCUUAACGGGAGGGGGCCUCCGAAGGCCCUGAGGUCCAGGUUCCAAAAUUACCCAGUUGCACCUGGGGUGUGUGUGUGUGUGUGUGUGUGGUGUCAGGAUCCCCCCCCCCAAAAAAAACCAGGGCCGCCGUGUUUAAAUAAGUUUGUUUAACUUAUUUAAACAGAACAAAAUAAGUUUAAAUAAAAGAGUUGGAGGAGGGAGUUGAAGGGGAUGCUCAUCAGAUUAGUAGACUGCAGGAAGUGGGGUGGGCUGGCAAACACUUCAGGAGACAAGAUCCAGCUCCAGUCUCAUCUGGACAGGUUCAAAUAUUGGGCAGAGAAACAAAGUUCCACAGAGACAAGUGGGAUGACCUACACCAGGGCUGUCUCAUCAGAGAGGGAGCCCGCUUGUCCUCUGUUGCUGCUGAGAGCAAAACUAGAAGCCAAGAGUGGACAUUGCAAGGGAGCAGGUCCAGGUGAGACAUGCGGAAGAGUCUCCUGACGGUGACAGUCGAACAGCUUGCCUCAUGCAGUGGCCGGCUCUCCUUCUCUGGAGGUUUCCAAGCAGAGGCCGGAGAAGCAUCCGUCAGGGUGGCUGUAGCAGGUUCCCCGCGCUGAACAGAGGGUUGGGCUAGAAGACCUAUUCCAGCCCCAUUGUUUCAAACUGCACUGAGAACCUUUUUGUUGUUGAAAAGCAGUGUGUGUGUGUUUGUGUGUGAAUAUAGAUAAUAAAACUCUGGUUAUGUCAAACUGAAAUCUAAAUAUAACUGAAGUGAUACCUAGUUUUAAUCUUAAUCUGGUUUAAAUGUUGUUGUUUUUUAAUUUUAAUUAUUAUCUGUGUUUGCUUUUCAUGUAAACUGCCCUGAAGCCAGAAUGUAACCCGCGCUCAGCUUUUCGGAAAUUAUUCCACUGAGUCUAUUUGCUAGCAAUAAAUUCUGCUUUUUCUCAACGA